rnacentral:rRNA from 1 species
CAUUAUCGUACCACUGAGCCACGAGGGCUGUCGCUGACCGCAUUCAAAGGUCGUGCACGCCGGAGUGUGCUCACCAUCAUCCACUUUACCCUUGUGCAUCACCGCGUGGGGCACCCCCUUUCUAAAGGGGGGUCCACGUCCUUUACACAAACACACUAGAGUUUAGAAUGUCUUUGCGGUCACACGCAAUCAAUACAACUUUCAACAAUGGAUCUCUUGGCUCUCGCAUCGAUGAAGAACGCAGCGAAAUGCGAUACGUAAUGUGAAUUGCAGAAUUCAGUGAAUCAUCGAAUCUUUGAACGCAUCUUGCGCCCCUUGGCAUUCCGAGGGGCACACCCGUUUGAGUGUCGUGACAUCCUCAAACCUUCUUGGUUUCUUGAUUAAGAAGGCUUUGGACUUUGGAGGCAUUUUGCUGGGCUCCUUCGGGGCUUGGCUCCUCUCAAAUGUAUUAGUGGGGUCUCCUUUGUGGCUUCCCCUGACGUGAUAAGUGAUAAAGCGUCUUGGGAAUCGGCUCUGUAACCUGCUUCUAACUGUCUCGUAAGGAGACUAUGUUUGGGUUUGCCACCCUUCGUGGGUGGGAAGCUCGACCCAGAAACCUUGACCUC